AAGUCGUAACAAGGUUUCCGUAGGUGAACCUGCGGAAGGAUCAUUGCAAAGAUGGAGAAUGAAUUGUAGGAAUGUGAAAGAAACACACAAGUACGACAAAUUUUUACCAUGAACUAUUAUUAUAACUCUCCACAUUGGAUCUCUGGGCUCUU
rnacentral:misc_RNA from 1 species